rnacentral:rRNA from 1 species
AACGAACGCGGGCGGCAUGCCUAACACAUGCAAGUCGAACGAGACCUUCGGGUCUAGUGGCGCACGGGUGCGUAACGCGUGGGAAUCUGCCCUUGGGUUCGGAAUAACAGUUAGAAAUGACUGCUAAUACCGGAUAAUGUCUUCGGACCAAAGAUUUAUCGCCCAGGGAUGAGCCCGCGUAGGAUUAGCUAGUUGGUGAGGUAAAGGCUCACCAAGGCGACGAUCCUUAGCUGGUCUGAGAGGAUGGAUCAGCCACACUGGGACUGAGACACGGCCCAGACUCCUACGGGAGGCAGCAGUGGGGAAUAUUGGACAAUGGGCGAAAGCCUGAUCCAGCAAUGCCGCGUGAGUGAUGAAGGCCUUAGGGUUGUAAAGCUCUUUACCCGGGAUGAUAAUGACAGUACCGGGAGAAUAAGCCCCGGCUAACUCCGUGCCAGCAGCCGCGGUAAU